CCUACGGGAGGCAGCAGUGAGGAAUAUUGGUCAAUGGGCGCGAGCCUGAACCAGCCAAGUCGCGUGCGGGAGGACGGCCCUACGGGUUGUAAACCUCUUUUGCCGGGGAGUAACGGGCGCCACGUGUGGCGUCACUGAGAGUACCCGGAGAAAAAGCAUCGGCUAACUCCGUGCCAGCAGCCGCGGUAAUACGGAGGAUGCGAGCGUUAUCCGGUUUUUUUGGGUUUAAGGGGUGCGUAGGCGGCUCGUUAAGUCAGUGGUAAAAUUGAGGGGUCAAACCCCUUACCGCCAUUGAUACUGGCAGUCUUGAGUACAGUUGAGGUAGGCGGAAUUCAUGGUGUAGCGGUGAAAUGCUUAGAUAUCACGAAGAACUCCGAUUGCGAAGGCAGCUUACUAAGCUGCCACUGACAUUGAUGCUCGAAAGUGUGGGUAUCAAACAGGAUUAGAUACCCGAGUAGUC
rnacentral:rRNA from 1 species